CCAGGACACCGUAGUUUACAUUUGUUCCGCAGAAGGCGCCAUGUUGCGCUACGUAUUAUUCUUUUUCUUGUGCUGGUGUUGAAGAAAUUCCCCAGAAUGCAGGAGAUUCAGCGUUUGAUGCUCAGAAGUUUUAAAACCUCAGUCAAACUCACCAGAGAGACGGCCGUCACCGAGAGGAAGAGGAGGAAGAGGAAGGCUGCUUUCAUGAUGCUGCUUCACUUCAGAGCUGAAACUGAACAGAGUUUGGUUUCAGAGUGAAAGUAGCAGUUCCUCCUUCAGGUCAGAGAUUGCAGCAUCUGAGGGCCUCUUCAAAAGAAGACGUUCUGAUGAAGUUGAAGGUGUUCUGGAGCAGGACCAGAAAGACCACGACCAAGCAGUCUUGAGAUCUUAGGCAGUGUCUCCCUCAGGUGGGUGUCAGUGGUGUUCACGGUCAGGUCUGUGGUAAUGCUGUCAAAAACAAAACUGAAAAAAAUCUAGAUUAUAAAUCAACAUGUAUCCAAAGCACUCUGUGUAUAACGCCAUAGUAUAGGAUGUAGUUCAGAAAAUGUCAAAGUAUAGGAUACUUUUCAAGAAUAACAUAGUAUGGCCUGUAGUUCAUAGUGUAGCAUGUCAGCAAAAAAAGCAUAGAUUAUUAUGUGGUUCAAAAAGCGCAAAAUGCCAUAGAAUAAUAGUUCAUUGCACAAGUAAAAGUAUAGUAAUUUUUAAAACUGUUCAAAUUCUUAUAUGUUGCUAAAAAAAAAAAACAAAACCUAAAACAAAAAAAAUCAAAUCAACUUUAUUUAUAUGGCACUUUUCAUACGAUACAGUAACACAAAGUGCCUCACAGAGGAUAAAAACAAGAACAACACAAUAUAAAACACUAUGAAAAACCCGAAACCUCCCACCCCCCACGAAUAUACACACAGAUACACAAUCACAUAUACAUUCACACUCAUACGUAGACAUACGAACAGACAUACAUACCCACACACACAAACAUACCAACAUACACACACCCACAUACACCAUCUGUCGGUAGGAGAUAUAGAGGAGACAUGGCUGGGCACCGAAAUCCGAGGUGAGGAAGAAGCCACCUUUGGGGGCCACGCACACCGAGAGGAGUCAUGGACCAUGACUGCAGGGGCGCCGACACAAGGACCACCCCAGCCCAGGCAGACAAGAGGCUCCGCAAUUCAUAGUAAUAUGUCAAUUAAAAAAGCAUAGUAUAGUAUGUAGCUCUAAAAACAUCAUAGUUUAGCCUUUGGUCCACAAAACGUUGUUCUGUCGCUGCUGUCUGAAGUAGGUGAGGAGCAACACAAAAACAGUCCAAACGCUGGUUUCCAGAGGGUUAGACGAGUGUUUAUUUGAAAGAGUAAGUUUACAACAACACACCAUGUGAGGGGGUUAAAAGCAAAUGGGUGUUAGUAAAAUAAAAAUAAAUAAACAGAACUAAAAGUGAACUUCAUGUUGACAUUGAUGGGCAUUCCAACCAGGAACAAAGUAAAAGAUCAUCAAUACGAAAAAAAAAACCUCUUCCUGUUCACCUCUUAAAACCCAAGAACACACCACAUAGCACCCUAAACUAAAACUACCAAUGGGUUCCCCGUUUUCCUUUCUGAAAAAUUCAAAGGUCCCUAUCUAUCUCCCCACACAUCCACCAGCCACUGGAACACAUCUCCAAAGUUCUGCUGAAGCUCAGCUUCCCCUCAGAAGAAGUACCGCCAGAUGAAGGAGCCUUUUGAGAGGCAGCUGGCAUCGUGAUUGGACGGCACUUUGGUGUGACCCAGUCCAGCUUCAGCUCCAGAGACGGCAGGCGGGACGAGUCAACGGAGGCCGGGUGGACGAAGGCAUGAAGCUGAGUACAAUCCAGAAAACACCAGAGGAGGAGAGCAGCGGCCCAGGGCCAGAACAAACAGAGGAGCACAGUAUGUCUCUGAGAAAACAUCAUAGUAUAGCCUUUGGUAUGAAAAAAUGCAAAAACGCCAUCAUAUACAUCGUAUACUGUACAAACAAGUCAAAGGAAAGAUACAUUGUAGUAAUUGUGGGCUGACUGAUUCACUGAUUAUCAGUAUUUUAUUUUUUACUGAUUUACAGUAAUAAAUUAUUUAAAAAUGGC